AAGGAAAAUGGAGGUGAGAUUUUGGAAUCAGCAAUGAACAAUGUUUCAACGAGAACGAUGGGUUUUUGAGUGAUAAAGGUGAAUCUAUGGUGUAGUCAGGAAAUUGACUUUUUUGAAAAAGUUAUUUUGUUUAGUCGAUAACAUAAUUGUUGAUGUCAUGUCAGCUAGUGUCCUGCUGGUGGACCACUUUAAGACUAAACUUUACCUUAUUACAAAUCAGUCCUCAUACAAAAU
rnacentral:lncRNA from 1 species